UNGUCCAACCUGAGGACUGAUGUUAGGAGG
rnacentral:piRNA from 1 species